rnacentral:rRNA from 1 species
CGCACGGGUGAGUAACACGUAUCCAACCUGCCGUCUACUCUUGGACAGCCUCUGAAAGGAAGAUUAAUACAAGAUGGCAUCAUGAGUCCGCAUGUUCACAUGAUUAAAGGUAUUCCGGUAGACGAUGGGGAUGCGUUCCAUUAGAUAGUAGGCGGGGUAACGGCCCACCUAGUCUUCGAUGGAUAGGGGUUCUGAGAGGAAGGUCCCCCACAUUGGAACUGAGACACGGUCCAA